GUUCAAAGAAUGAAUCAGCAAACUGUGGAAUGUUUUACGGUAUUUUAUGAUCCUAUGCCACCAAUAAAAGCUAAUGUAUUUGCUCUAAGUUGUGGUUAGAGUUGAUCAGAGAGGAACAAUCCUGUGUUUGGAGUUGGACGUGGUUGCCUGGAUGCAGCAGCAGUAACAGCAACAGCCUGUCUGAGGGCUGUGGCCCGUCCAUGCCUGCUGCACCUGUUGUCUCCUCUGCUGUUGGGGCUCCUCCACCUAAAUACGGUCUCCAGGCGGACAGAGAAGCGGGAAGCUCCGUCCUCUGGUCUGCUAUUGGCGGUUAGGCGCAACAUCCGCGCGUCCCACUGUUUAAUGAGGAGCUGUGUGGCGCUAAGUGCGCAGAAAGGCGCGUUCUGGCACCAACCACCUGCCACCAACAGAUGCCUCACACCUCGACCUGGAGCCUGAACAGGAAGCUCCAUCCUGAGUGAUCAGGUUGCCUUUUUCUGUGGAGGAAUCCACCAGACUGACCUCUGGAGAGAAGUCCCGCUGAGGGGUGAGCGGAGGUA